rnacentral:rRNA from 1 species
AAGUUUGAUCAGUGCUCAGAGUAGACGCUGGCGGCAGGCCUAAUACAUGCAAGUCGAACGGCAGCACAGCAGAGCUUGCUCUGGUGGGUGGCGAGUGGCGGACGGGUGAGGAAUACGUGGGAAUCUGCCCAGUCGUGGGGGAUAACGUAGGGAAACUUACGCUAAUACCGCAUGCGCCCUUCGGGGGAAAGCCGGGGACCUUCGGGCCUGGCGCGAUUGGAUGAGCCCACGUCGGAUUAGCUAGUUGGCGGGGUAAAGGCCCACCAAGGCGACGAUCCGUAGCUGGUCUGAGAGGAUGAUCAGCCACACUGGAACUGAGACACGGUCCAGACUCCUACGGGAGGCAGCAGUAGGGAAUAUUGGACAAUGGGCGCAAGCCUGAUCCAGCCAUGCCGCGUGAGUGAAGAAGGCCCUCGGGUUGUAAAGCUCUUUUGUCCGGAAAGAAAAGCGCCGGGUUAAUACCCUGGUGUCCUGACGGUACCGGAAGAAUAAGCACCGGCUAACUUCGUG